GUGCCAGCAGCCGCGGUAAGACGUAGGGGACGAGCGUUGUCCGGAUUUAUUGGGCGUAAAGCGCGCGCAGGCGGCCGUGUAAGUCGGGUGUGAAAUCCCGGAGCUCAACUCCGGAACUGCACUCGAAACUGCACGGCUCGAGGUAGGUAGGGGAGAUCGGAAUUCCUGGUGUAGCGGUGGAAUGCGCAGAUAUCAGGAGGAACACCGGUGGCGAAGGCGGAUCUCUGGGCCUUACCUGACGCUCAGGCGCGAAAGCUAGGGGAGCGAACAGGAUUAGAAACCCUCGUAGUCC
rnacentral:rRNA from 1 species